rnacentral:rRNA from 1 species
AAUGAUUUAUUUAAUGGCCGCGGUAUUUUGACCGUGCAAAGGUAGCAUAAUCAUUAGUCUAUUAAUUGUGGACUUGUAUGAAUGGUUUGACGAAGUAUUAACUGUCUCUUAAAUAUUGUUAGAAUUUAAAAUUUUAGUUAAAAUGCUUAAAUUUAAUUGUGGGACGAGAAGACCCUAUAGAUCUUUAUUUAUUUAUUUAUUUAUUAUUUUUGGUUUAUUUUUUAUAAAUUAGUAACUAUGUUUUGUUGGGGUGACAUUAAGAUAUAAUUAACUCUUUUUUUAUAAUACAUUGAUUUUUGAUUUAUUGACCUUUUAUUAUUGUUAUAAGAUAUAGAUACCUUAGGGAUAACAGCGUAAUUUUUCUUGAGAGUUCAUAUUGACAGAAUAAGAUUGCGACCUCGAUGUUGGAUUAAGGUUAUUAUUAGGUGUAGGUGCUUAAUUAAAUAGGUCUGUUCGACCUUUAAAUUCUUACAUGAUCUGAGU